CAAACAAGAUGGCGGACAACGCGCAGAGUGCAGGUUUGUUCCGUGAAAUGACCACGAAAACCGGCGUCAAGAUCAAGUCAACCCAAAUGAAUUCAAGUAGAGUUAGCAAACUAGUGUCAAUGCAAACUAAGACUAAGCCUUUAUUUUAUUUUUUAUUUUCUCCCAGAGGUGGAAAAAAAGAUUCGAGCAGCUUUCGAAGCGUUUGACUACCAAUCAAACAGCACAGUCGAUGUCCGGUGAGCUCCAUCUCAAACGCAGAACACAGUUUUAAAAACGGAAUUUUUCUUCUCUGGUCCUCUUCGUUUCACUGCAGACUCAAUAUGCUGUCUCGUUUGCAUAAAAUCAAAUACAAGACGCGUCUAUAAUGUAUUACAAAACCAACACCCAGUGAUUAUUGCAUAAUUUCAUGACAUAUGAAGAAAAAUUAGAAGUGAGAUUGGCACCAUCAUCUAUUCUCUGGGCCGCUUCCCCAGUCAGGCAGACCUGCACAACUUCAUAGCUGAGGUCAGAACCCGCGUUGAUGUAUACUCUUUCAUUUAAGAAAUCAUCUCGGGCAAGCACAUCCUGGCGCAGUUGUGAGAUUCGGGGGGUUCUGGGUUCGGAUCUCAGCUCCGGUGUGGAGUUCGGUAUUCUCCGGGUACGGGACUCCGACUUUCUCCCACAUCCCCAAAACACGCAUGUUCAGAUAACUGACGACUCUGAAUUGUCCAUAGGUGUGAAUGUGAGUGCAAAUGAUUGUUUUCUCCCUCUCUUUGUAAUAUUCUAAUAUAGCCACAGCAGCCAGGGCAAUCCGCUUUUUCCUUGAAGAAUUGUGCUCUGUUGUUUGUGGUUAAAUACAGUAUACGUGGAGCCUCACAACAUGGUUUCCCGGAAAAGAACACCAGAGGUUGCAAUGUUUCCAUUGCAGUUAGUAUGUGUGCAAGGGUCAAUCGCCAGGUGUGCAAUGUGAGUCGCCGACUGCAAUUUGUUCGCAAUUGUCCGGUUCAGUCACGUUCGGCUUUCGUCGCCCGGUGUGCGGCGGGCCUUCAAUCCUCACCCCCGAUAGACUCCUUAUCGCUGCAGUUGAGUAACUACAUUUACCAAACCAGGUGGAAGAGGACCAAACAGGAUACAUCCACCUGGACCGCUUCCUCCCCGCCAUGACCAAAGUUCUGAUGGAACACAAGUAGGAUGUCUUUGAUAAUAUUAGCGACCAUGUUAUUGAAUCUCAACGCGGGUCGGGACAAUUGGAUGGCUCCAUCCUUGAACGUAUACGCCACAACAUUAGGUACACUUACACAAUCCAUUGAGAUCUGAUAACAAGAACUACAUGAACAAAUUUUGUCUUGAAAGAUAGCAAGAGAUGCACAGUCAUAGAAGACCACAGUGUAGCUCACCAGGCUUCAUCCAAUUGUGUACAAUGUGUACAAUAAAGCUCUCAGUAUGAGUCAGCGCAGUUAUACAACUGCAAUAAUAAACAUUAUGAAAUAAAUUGAAAUAAGUCGUGUUAUCGAACUUCAGAAUUUGUUGUUUAACAACUUCUGUUGACUGUCAUUACAUUGUGAAAGUGUUACCUAAUGCUAUCAAGGAGGGCAUGAGAACAGGGAGAUCGCUGUACUUAAAAGCUUAUCAUUAUGUGUGCUGUAUCCUACCCAAGCAAUUAAAAUAGCUCAAAGUAUUGUGCUCGCUAAUGACUAAUGGUAGUACUCGCAUUGUUCUGGUGUCAUCACACCAACGCUGGUUGGACUGCUCGAGCGUGUGUGCGUGUGUGUGUGUGUGUGUGUGUGUUGAAGGUUCCCUCCCAUCUCUGAGGACGUGCUGCUUCAAGCGUUUGAGGUUCUUGACAACGAAAAGAAGGGCUCCUUGGACCCGGAUGUUCUGUCGCAG